GGGUCCGUAGCUCAGUUGGGAGAGCAUCUGCUUCGCAUGUAGGGGGUCGACGGUUCAAGUCCGUUCGGAUCCA
rfam:Pediococcus argentinicus strain DSM 23026 Scaffold3, whole genome shotgun sequence.